GUCUAGGUUUCUUCCCAAAUUGCUGGAUAGAGAGGGUUCCACCUGGCUGACUGCCCCUCCCUUGACUUCCUUCCCCAGUGCCUGCCGACUUUCCCUGAGGCCUUGGGUCCCAGUACAUAGUGGCUGUCAUCCCAGCUCCUACCUUAGGAACAUGGACCAUGCAGUCAGAUCAAGUCACUGUGUGACCCUGGACGAGUGACUUCAUUCGCCUCCCUGAGCCUCGGGAAAACAAGGCCACGUGUGCUGGUGUCUGGAGGAACCCCACAUCGGAGAGCCCAAGGCUCAUCUGGGGAGUCUUUCCCCAUUGGCUCAUGUCUCUCUGCCAGUGUCCCCGUGUUCUCAUGUUGUUCUCCACUGCAGCUCUCAGAACACCCCCUUCCAUUCUAGAUUAGACUCCUCCUUUGUGCCUUCCCCAGGGGUCCCCAGGUUUGUAGAGCACAUGUGUGGUGCCAGCCCCUGUAAGGAAUUAAUUCACUGGUGGGUAGGUGUAGGCCUACCUUGGGAACCCCUAAGUCUCCAUCCAGGGGCUCCCCAGAGGAAAGACUCCAGGUGGGGAGGCCCACAGGGG